rnacentral:lncRNA from 1 species
CGUCUCCAAACAUUGAACAGUAUUGUAACAGCAUAGAGAGGGGUGAAAGAUACAAAAGGUACAUUCAGUCUCAUUAAUCGAAAAUAACGUAAGAAAAAUCUGCCACUAUGGUUUACUUGUUAUAUAAAUAACGUAGUAAAAUAUUGACCGUGACUUUUUGAAAGUAUGCAGUAAAGGAAAUACGCAAAUUCGUAACACCAAUUAACAACGAAAUGUCAUUUGUUAACCUAUGUGUAAAAACUGCAAAUUAGUGUUCCUUUAAUUGAUCCUGCUGAGUAGCUGAAAUAAUUAUACAAGGUAGGUGACUUUGUAAAAAUAAAAUCGUAUCACUGUAUCAUUAUGAAAAAAAGGGUGAUUAUAUUUUGAUUUUGAUCAUUUCAAUGAAUAAGAAAAGUAUAUUGUACAAACAAUAUUGCAAAGCUUGCUUGAUACAUCUAUUACUUUUAAUAGUUAUGAAAUAACACUCUUUCCAAAUGUUAUUAAAUUCAGCAAUGCUUUAAAAAGUAAAAUCACAAAAAUACUGAACUUAGAGGAAAAUCCAAUCGGAAAGUCCAUAAUCACAUGGCAAAAUCAAAUAACAAAACACAUCAAAAACGAAUGGACAAGAACUAUUAUAUUCCUGACUUUGUUAAACAUACAUAAAAAAAUGUUCCUCUUAAAUUCAUUUGAAUUUUGUUUUGAGGUUAUAGUUUACUAAGUUUUGUUCUUGAUAUUACCCUAUAGUUAACUGUAUUGUUUUUCUCGUCUCAUUUUAUGGUACCAUAUUAAGAUCCAAUGUGAAGGUAACAGUUAUUCUGGCUAUUGGCCUUGCAGUACAUCUUAUAGGGAUAUGAUUUUAUUCUAACAAAUUAAUGACUGAUACACAUUUAAAAAAGCAGAGGAAUAUUUCCUAAAUUAAAAUGAAAUGAUGGGGAAUGAUUGCUAAGAAAAAUAUCCGUAUUUAACAGAACUACCAAUAUAGUAGCUCCUAGUCGAGCUCCUAGUUUAUAAUUGUUUAAUAAAAAAAAAUUUAAAAGGCCGACGGAUACAUAUGCAAGGAUAAAACAAAUUGAUGAUUCAUUUUAAUUCAAUACAAUUUUGGUCCUUUGAUCUCUGUUGUACUGUUGUCUUGUUGUUUCAUAUCACGUCUCCUAAAUGUUAACUUUAGCUUGCUAAUAAUUUAACGUUAUCAAGUAUGAUAUAACAAUACUUUUUACAAUAUUUUUUGUAUAACUUAAACUUUUUUUUUAAAACGAAGUUAAUUCAUUUCUAGUUAACAAUUAGUUUCCCAAAAAUUUACCCUCUUUUUGUUAAAAGGUAAAAUAACAAAAAUACCGAAUUCCGAGGAAAAUCUAGAACAGAAAGUCCAGAAAUCAAAUGACAAUUGUAUUUGUAUUUGUUAUCCUGUUCGUAUCAAAUCUUUCAUAAAAAAAAUUUAAAAAACACUUUAAAAAAGUACACACAUAAUUGAAUAUGAAUGAAAUAUAUGGGAUUUUUCAACAUGAAUGAAAAAUACAUUGAAAUAAUAACAAAUAACGUACAGUUACCUAUAGUUGUGUCAUUUUGGUCUCUUGUGGACAGUUGUCUCAUUGGCAAUAAUACCACAUUUUCUUUUUUAUACAUACAUUACAUCUGUGAUAUUUUGUUUAAGUCCAAGACGCAAAUGCAAGUUGUGCUUCCAGUUGUAAAUACCAAUGGACGGCCAGACGCUGUAGAUAAAAUUGGCAGUCAGAUAUGUAUGGUCCUGUGACUGAAGAUGUCACAGUUGUGCCAGUGAGCGUACCAUAAAAUUCUCUGAAAAUGAAGGAUCUGUUAAAAUUACUAGUAAAACAUCUAUCAAUUAUGUAGUUUUGACUGCCUGCUUUACAUUGGUAAAUAUUUUGGCAUACAUCAGUUUGUAGGUUUUUAGAAUUAUGUUGAUUUCAACAUGUUAAAUUCAUCACACCAUGUCAGUAAAAUCUAUCAUGAACAGAUGUGACAAUAUUCUUGACAUGGUAAAAGAGAGAAUGGCUGACAGUAAAAGGCUAUGAUUUCUACUUCGACAUCCUAAAUGUUAUGAUUUUGAAAUUCUAUUAAUUCCUCCAUUUUGUUAUUUAUUCUAUUUUAUCUUCUUACCAUCUGAGAUGCAAGCACAGACAAAAGACCAUGAGAACACUGACCAAUCACAGGAUAUGCAGAAAGGUGAAAUCGAGCUAAGUGAAAUUGUGAUUUAAAGAGGCGGAUUUAUGGAGAGACGUUGAUAUAUGUUUGGAAUAAUAUUCUGAUCGGACGUUUGUUAAUAUUCUGUUCUCUUCCGUUUAACUUGUAUUAUAUAUCUAAGAUAUCUGAAAAUGUUUCUGCUACACAAAUUCUUAAUAAAGGUUUUAAUUAAAUACUUAGUCAAUCAGAU